rnacentral:rRNA from 1 species
GACGAACGCUGGCGGCGUGCUUAACACAUGCAAGUCGAACGGUAAGGCCCUUCGGGUACGACGAGUGGCGAACGGGUGAGUAACACGUGGGUGAUCUGCCCUGCACUUCGGGAUAAGCCUGGGAAACUGGGUCUAAUACCGGAUAGGACCAUGGACUUCACGGUUUGUGGUGGAAAGCUUUUGCGGUGUGGGAUGGGCCCGCGGCCUAUCAGCUUGUUGGUGGGGUAAUGGCCUACCAAGGCGACGACGGGUAGCCGGCCUGAGAGGGUGUCCGGCCACACUGGGACUGAGAUACGGCCCAGACUCCUACGGGAGGCAGCAGUGGGGAAUAUUGCACAAUGGGCGCAAGCCUGAUGCAGCGACGCCGCGUUGAGGGAUGACGGCCU